rnacentral:rRNA from 1 species
UACGUAGGGGGCAAGCGUUGCUCGGAAUUACUGGGCGUAAAGCGCACGUAGGCGGCUUCUUAAGUCGGUGGUGAAAUCCUGGAGCUCAACUCCAGAACUGCCUUCGAUACUGGGAGCUCGAGUCCGGGAGAGGUGAGUGGAACUGCGAGUGUAGAGGUGAAAUUCGUAGAAUAUUCGCAAGAACACCAGUGGCGAAGGCGGCUCACUGGCCCGGUACUGACGCUGAGGUGCGAAAGCGUGGGGAGCAAACAGGG